UACGGAGGGUGCGAGCGUUAAUCGGAAUUACUGGGCGUAAAGCGCACGCAGGCGGUUAUAUAAGCUAGAUGUGAAAGCCCCGGGCUCAACCUGGGAAUAGCAUUUAGAACUGUAUGACUAGAGUCUUGGAGAGGGGAGUGGAAUUCCAGGUGUAGCGGUGAAAUGCGUAGAUAUCUGGAGGAACAUCAGUGGCGAAGGCGACUCCCUGGCCAAAGACUGACGCUCAUGUGCGAAAGUGUGGGUAGCGAACAGG
rnacentral:rRNA from 1 species